AGUUGGUGGAGUGAUUUGUCUGCUUGAUUGCGAUAACGAACGAGACCUUAACCUGCUAAAUAGUGUGUUGGCCCCUUGGUGCCAAUGCUCACUUCUUAACGGGACUGUGAAAGAAAAUUUCACGGAAGCAUGAGGCGAUAACAGGU
rnacentral:rRNA from 1 species